ensembl:snRNA U6 U6 spliceosomal RNA
ACUGCUCGCUUCGGCAGCAGACACUAAAACUGGAACGAUAGAGAUUAGCACGGCCCCUGCGCAAGGAUGACACGCAAAUUCGUGAAGCGUUCCAUAUUUAA